rnacentral:rRNA from 1 species
AGGCCGAACGCUGGCGGCGUGCUUAACACAUGCAAGUCGAGCGGAAAGGCCUUUCGGGGUACUCGAGCGGCGAACGGGUGAGUAACACGUGAGUAAUCUGCCCAUCGCUUCAGGAUAGCCAUCGGAAACGGUGAUUAAUACUGGAUAUGACAUUCCUUCGCAGUGUUGGGGUGUGGAAAGUUUUUUCGGCGGUGGAUGUGCUCGCGGCCUAUCAGCUUGUUGGUGGGGUAAUGGCCUACCAAGGCUUUGACGGGUAGCCGGCCUGAGAGGGUGACCGGCCACACUGGGACUGAGACACGGCCCAGACUCCUACGGGAGGCAGCAGUGGGGAAUAUUGGACAAUGGGCGGAAGCCUGAUCCAGCAACGCCGCGUGAGGAUGACGGCCUUCGGUGUAACGUCUUCAGUACCGACGAAGCGCCGUGUGGUGGUGGACGGUAGGUACGAAGAAGAAGACGACCGGACCGAACCUACGUACGCCGACGCACGACCGC